GAAUCUUCCACAAUGGACGAAAGUCUGAUGGAGCAACGCCGCGUGAGUGAAGAAGGUUUUCGGAUCGUAAAACUCUGUUGUAAGGGAAGAACACGUACGAGAGUAACUGCUCGUACCUUGACGGUACCUUAUUAGAAAGCCACGGCUAACUACGUGCCAGCAGCCGCGGUAAUACGUAGGUGGCAAGCGUUGUCCGGAAUUAUUGGGCGUAAAGCGCGCGCAGGCGGUCCUUUAAGUCUGAUGUGAAAGCCCACGGCUCAACCGUGGAGGGUCAUUGGAAACUGGGGGACUUGAGUACAGAAGAGGAAAGCGGAAUUCCAAGUGUAGCGGUGAAAUGCGUAGAGAUUUGGAGGAACACCAAUGGCGAAGGCGGCUUUCUGGUCUGUAACUGACGCUGAGGCGCGAAAGCGUGGGGAGCAAACAG
rnacentral:rRNA from 1 species